CGCGUAGGAAUCUACCUGGUAGUGGGGGACAACUUGGGGAAACUCAAGCUAAUACCGCAUACGCCCUACGGGGGAAAGCGGGGGACCUUCGGGCCUCGUGCUAUCGGAUGAGCCUGCGUUGGAUUAGCUAGUUGGUGGGGUAAAAGCCUACCAAGGCGACGAUCCAUAGCUGGUCUGAGAGGAUGAUCAGCCACACUGGGACUGAGACACGGCCCAGACUCCUACGGGAGGCAGCAGUGGGGAAUAUUGCGCAAUGGGCGAAAGCCUGACGCAGCCAUGCCGCGUGUGUGAAGAAGGCCU
rnacentral:rRNA from 1 species